CAUGGGAGUCUGGAAGGGGGAACCGAGAAUCCCACAAAGUUUUCUCCUCUAGUUUUGCUACUCUGGUCAAGAAAAAAAAUAAUUCCAGUGCUCCUUGCAGCUCUUUUGACGGACCGGCUAUGUCGGGGCAGAGUUUCAAUUCGGAAUGUGGAAUUUUUUGAGAUGGGUGAAUGUUAGUAAAAGGGCAAUCGUGCCUCAUAUUCGGAUCAUAGGUGCUCCUCCAAAGGGAAUACUUUAAGGAGAGUGAGCCAGGGAGUUGUGCUGCUCCUGUACGUCACGGUUUGACUGGAGUGUUUGUGGAGCUCGGAGCUUCAAACAUUUCCCCAACUGUGAAGCAGAAAGAGAGUGGGGAAUGUCUACAUCAGCUCUCCCUUUCUCCUGCUACAGAUACCACCGAUAAGAUCCGGAGACUUUGCAGGGGCCGUAACGACAACUCAAUUUACAUCCUGAAGGUGCAAGAAUGCCAAUGGAAGCGUACGAUCUCUAAACUCCGAGGAGGAACAGUUUCUUACAGAUCACAUAUAUCUAAUUGGAAGAUACGACUGUUUCAACUAUUCAUCUGCAUGAUCCUUCAUUCAGCGUUACGGUCACGGUUUUGCCUGGAUAUUUUAAAUGCUGCAUCUAGGAGCCUCUGCGCUUGCCAAUCAAUUGGUACCGUGGAACGGAACAAGACUGCAAUAGCGUGAAGAUCAGUCCCCUCUCUCUCUCUCUCUCUCUCUCUCUCUCUCUCUCUCUCUCUCUCUCCCCUCCCUUUCUUCCCCCUCCCUCUCUCCCCCUCUCCCCUCCCCUCUCUCUCUCCCGCCCUCUCUCUCACUCACUCUCUUUCCCUCCCCCUCUCCUUUCUAUCGCCCCCAUUCUCUCUCACCCCCUCUCUCCUUCUCUCUCUCUCUCUCUC